GGCUGGUCCGAUGGUAGUGGGUUAUCAGAAAUUAACAUCAGUGUUACUAAAGUCGGUAUACAACCCUACACUGCUAAACUUGACUGGCUUUUA
ensembl:misc_RNA RNY4P20 RNY4 pseudogene 20